UCACCGUGAUGAUGGUUCCAAACCAUUCGCAGUUUCCACCAGAAAAGUCUUUUUCCUUAAUGUUGGCUAAACCUUCCUUGGAUGUCUGAGUGA